rnacentral:rRNA from 1 species
AUACGGAGGGUGCAAGCGUUAUCCGGAUUCAUUGGGUUUAAAGGGUGCGCAGGCGGACUUGUAAGUCAGUGGUGAAAUCCCGGGGCUCGACCUCGGAACUGCCAUUGAUACUGCAAGUCUUGAGUUUGGUUGAAGUGGGCGGAAUGUAGCAUGUAGCGGUGAAAUGCAUAGAUAUGCUACAGAACACCGAUCGCGAAGGCAGCUUACCAGACUGUUAUUGACGCCAAGGCACGAAAGCGUGGGGAGCGAACAGGAUUAGAAACCCCGGUAGUCC